UGGAGUUUGUGCGACCAUGCCUUGGUCUGUGUCUUUCCUAGCACCUACAAGGCAUUAUAACAUUGCCACUCAAACUACCGUUCUCGCCCGGUUGUUACCCAUACUCCUGUUACUCGAUACUACCAUUGAAUGGAGGUGCCAGGGACCUGUAUGCAGAACGGCGUGAUCUGGUCAACUGCAGAGAGGUGCAACAGCAUCCGGUACAGCACUUCUGAGACGAGGUCGUGAACACACCUGCGUGUCUGGGCCUUCUUCCGUGGAGAUGCGAUCGCGGAGGUGUGCCGCGGCAAGAUCGUGGACGACUUUCCGCACAUGGAAGGACUUCAAGUGAGCCUGGGUGACCUGACCUCACUUAGGCGACAAUAGGAAACGCUCCAGAGGGGAGUAAGUGGACGGAAAAACAGCUGGGUCCCUACGCCUUGACCAAAGCGCGGUGAAGAGCGACCUGGUCUAACCCGAAGGAGGCAGUACGAGACCGAUUCUUGAACCGCGAACACCUUCCCCUUUCGCCCUCAGGAGCUGACGUCGCCACGACAACAAUAUUUCCUCAUAACUAUGUGUCUGUUUUCUCAAUAAAGCAGCUAAACAGA